GACGAACGCUGGCGGCGUGCCUAAUACAUGCAAGUCGAGCGGGCCUCCGGAGGUGCUUGCACCUCCGGAAGGCCAGCGGCGGACGGGUGAGUAACACGUGGCAACCUGCCUUUGAGGCCGGGAUAACACCGGGAAACCGGUGCUAAUACCGGAUGCGUCCCCUUUCGCGCCCGCGAGAGGGGAGAAAGACGGUCUUUAAGGCCGUCGCUCACAGAGGGGCCCGCGGCGCAUUAGCUGGUUGGUGGGGUAAGGGCCUACCAAGGCGACGAUGCGUUGCCGACCUGAGAGGGUGAUCGGCCACACUGGGACUGAGACACGGCCCAGACUCCUGCGGGAGGCAGCAGUAGGGAAUCAUCCGCAAUGGGCGAAAGCCUGACGGUGCAACGCCGCGUGAGUGAGGAAGGUUUUCGGAUCGUAAAGCUCUGUUGUGAGGGAAGAACAGCUUCCGGAGGAAAUGCCGGAGGUUUGCCGGUACCUCACCAGAAAGCCCCGGCUAACUACGUGCCAGCCGCCGCGGUAA
rnacentral:rRNA from 1 species